rnacentral:rRNA from 1 species
AACGAACGCUGGCGGCAUGCCUAACACAUGCAAGUCGAACGAGACCUUCGGGUCUAGUGGCGCACGGGUGCGUAACGCGUGGGAACCUGCCUUUAGGUUCGGAAUAACUCCCCGAAAGGGGUGCUAAUACCGGAUAAUGUCUUCGGACCAAAGAUUUAUCGCCUUUGGAUGGGCCCGCGUUGGAUUAGCUAGUUGGUAGGGUAAAAGCCUACCAAGGCGACGAUCCAUAGCUGGUCUGAGAGGAUGAUCAGCCACACUGGGACUGAGACACGGCCCAGACUCCUACGGGAGGCAGCAGUGGGGAAUAUUGGACAAUGGGCGAAAGCCUGAUCCAGCAAUGCCGCGUGAGUGAUGAAGGCCUUAGGGUUGUAAAGCUCUUUUACCCGGGAUGAUAAGGACAGUACCGAGAGAAUAAGCUCCGGCGAACUCCGU